GACAGAGGUCCCGAGCGUUAGGCGGAAUCACUGGGCUUAAAGCGUGUGUAGGCGGAUCGUUAAGUGCCUUGUGAAAUCCCAUGGCUUAACCAUGGAACUGCUUGGCAUACUGGCGACCUUGAGUCCGGGAGAGGUGAGUGGAACUGCGAGUGUAGAGGUGAAAUUCGUAGAUAUUCGCAAGAACACCAGUGGCGAAGGCGGCUCACUGGCCCGGUACUGACGCUGAGGUGCGAAAGCGUGGGGAGCAAACAGG
rnacentral:rRNA from 1 species